AUACGGAGGAUGCGAGCGUUAUCCGGAUUUAUUGGGUUUAAAGGGUGCGUAGGCUGUUUGGUAAGUCAGGGGUGAAAUGCCGUCGCUCAACGACGGAGCUGCCCUUGAUACUGCCGAGCAGGAGUACGGAUGCCGUUGGAGGAAUGAGUGGUGUAGCGGUGAAAUGCAUAGAUAUCACUCAGAACACCGAUUGCGAAGGCAUCUGACGAAUCGGUCACUGACGCUGAGGCACGAAGGCGUGGGGAUAGAACAGGAUUAGAUACCCUGGUAUUCCACGCCGUAAACGAUGAUGACUAACCGCCUGCGAUAUAGUGUAGGUGGCCAAGCGAAAGCGAUAAGUCAUCCACCUGGGGAGUACGACCGCAAGGUUGAAACUCAAAGGAAUUGACGGGG
rnacentral:rRNA from 1 species